rnacentral:rRNA from 1 species
AGAGUUUGAUCCUUGCUCAGGACGAACGCUGGCAGCGUGCCUAAUACAUGCAAGUAGAACGCUGAAGAGAGGAGCUUGCUCUUCUUGGAUGAGUUGCGAACGGGUGAGUAACGCGUAGGUAACCUGCCUUGUAGCGGGGGAUAACUAUUGGAAACGAUAGCUAAUACCGCAUAACAAUGGAUGACACAUGUCAUUUAUUUGAAAGGGGCAAUUGCUCCACUACAAGAUGGACCUGCGUUGUAUUAGCUAGUAGGUGAGGUAAUGGCUCACCUAGGCGACGAUACAUAGCCGACCUGAGAGGGUGAUCGGCCACACUGGGACUGAGACACGGCCCAGACUCCUACGGGAGGCAGCAGUAGGGAAUCUUCGGCAAUGGGGGCAACCCUGACCGAGCAACGCCGCGUGAGUGAAGAAGGUUUUCGGAUCGUAAAGCUCUGUUGUAAGUCAAGAACGGGUGUGAGAGUGGAAAGUUCACACUGUGACGGUAGCUUACCAGAAAGGGACGGCUAACUACGUGCCAGCAGCCGCGGUAAUACGUAGGUCCCGAGCGUUGUCCGGAUUUAUUGGGCGUAAAGCGAGCGCAGGCGGUUUGAUAAGUCUGAAGUUAAAGGCUGUGGCUCAACCAUAGUUCGCUUUGGAGACUGUCAAACUUGAGUGCAGAAGGGGAGAGUGGAAUUCCAUGUGUAGCGGUGAAAUGCGUAGAUAUAUGGAGGAACACCGGUGGCGAAAGCGGCUCUCUGGUCUGUAACUGACGCUGAGGCUCGAAACGCGUGGGGAGCGAACAGGAUUAGAUACCCUGGUAGUCCACGCCGUAAACGAUGAGUGCUAGGUGUUGGA